GGCCCACAAGGCGGAGCGCCAGGACCAUCGUCACCACCCCUGCGAAGGCAAGCACCGUCUCGAGCGCCAUCGACACCCAGGAUCCGCCAUCGCGACUGCUCGUAUUGCGUGAGCCCAUCUCCACCGUCCUUUGCGUCGGCAGUAGAGCAGAGGGGGUUCAUUUAUAACAAGAAUGCUUUGAGAUGGGAGGUGAUGAACAACAAUGAUGGAACUUGGACCGUUCGAUGAGGUGCAAUCUGUGGUGCCAGAGACAUCUCCAUCCUUGGCUCAACGAAGAUAAUGGAUUGGACGGUCAAGAUUUACUGUUACCCCAGAUCACACGGAAUGAUGAGGUGGUGGACAGGCAGAGCGCGAGGAGGUGCAUGCGUGGCCACUAGGCGGGCCCCAUAUCCACGUAAGUUUUACGCUGCUCAAAGAAGUCGAACUUGAAGCGUCGGGAACUCUGUUGAAGUUGGUGGCCAACUUCAUAGUGCUUCGGCACACGUCCACAAAACGGUAGCCAUGCAAGCGAUUUAUGGUCACAUAUUUGCACGUAAUGUUUAAGAUGUCUUCUUCUU